GCCACCGUAGCUCAGUCCGGGAGAGCAGCUCCCUUGUAAGGAGCGGGUCGAGGGUUCGAAUCCCUCCGGUGGCU
rnacentral:tRNA from 1 species